rnacentral:rRNA from 1 species
ACGGAGAACUUAUUUCGGUAAGUUCUUAGUGGCGAACGGGUGAGUAACGCGUGGGCAACCUGCCCUCCAGUUGGGGACAACAUUCCGAAAGGGAUGCUAAUACCGAAUGUGCUCCCUCCUCCGCAUGGAGGAGGGAGGAAAGAUGGCCUCUGCUUGCAAGCUAUCGCUGGAAGAUGGGCCCGCGUCUGAUUAGCUAGUUGGUGGGGUAACGGCUCACCAAGGCGAUGAUCAGUAGCCGGUCUGAGAGGAUGAACGGCCACAUUGGGACUGAGACACGGCCCAAACUCCUACGGGAGGCAGCAGUGGGGAAUCUUCCGCAAUGGACGAAAGUCUGACGGAGCAACGCCGCGUGAGUGAUGAAGGUCUUCGGAUUGUAAAACUCUGUUGUUAGGGACGAAAGCACCGUGUUCGAACAGGUCAUGGUGUUGACGGUACCUAACGAGGAAGCCACGGCUAACUACGUGCCAGCAGCCGCGGUAAUACGUAGGUGGCAAGCGUUGUCCGGAAUUAUUGGGCGUAAAGAGCAUGUAGGCGGGCUUUUAAGUCUGACGUGAAAAUGCGGGGCUUAACCCCGUAUGGCGUUGGAUACUGGAAAGUCUUGAGUGCAGGAGAGGAAAGGGG